UACAGAGGUGGCAAGCGUUGUUCGGAAUUACUGGGCGUAAAGGGCGCGUAGGCGGCUCGGCACGUCCGUUGUGAAAUCGCCCGGCUCAACUGGGCGGGGUCGGCGGAUACGGCCGAGCUGGAGCAAGCUAGGGGGUAAUGGAAUUCCCGGUGUAGUGGUGGAAUGCGUAGAUAUCGGGAGGAACACCAGUGGCGAAGGCGGUUGCCUGGAGCUUUGCUGACGCUGAUGCGCGAAAGCGUGGGGAGCGAUCCGG
rnacentral:rRNA from 1 species